rnacentral:lncRNA from 1 species
UUAUUAUAGGUAUAUAUAUAAUAAUGGAUAAUAUAGCUUUUAGAGAGAGAGAGAAAACAAAGAGAGAAGUUGCCCAAAAGUGAUAUAUAUGUAUACUUGGUGUGAGUUGUAGAUGUGUGUAAUACCCUCCAUUAAACCACCUUUAAUUAAUUUGCCCUUCUUUUUUUUUUCUUUCUUUUGUGUCCUGCUUUUGUCACCCAAGGACCUGUUGGUCAGCCUUGCACAUGCACAUUGUGACCAGCCUCUCCCCCUGAAUAAUAAAGUAAAAUAUAUUGUAGAAAAAGAAACAAUUUAAUCUCUCUCUCUCUCUCUCUCUCUCUCUCUCUCUCUCUCUCUCACACACACACAUACACACACACACACACACACAUGUAAUUAACAGGCCUCUUGAAGGAAAGUCCAAGGACCUAUCCUCUAUAAUUGCCCUUUGAGGGGCUCUUCCUUUGUGGGGUUUUUUUUUUGUUUUGUUUUUUUUUUUUUUUGUUUGUUUAAGUGUUUUUAGGGGUAAACCGUANUUUUUUUUUGUUUUUUUUUUUUUUUUUUUUGUUUGUUUAAGUGUUUUUAGGGGUAAACCGUAAUUUUCUGCAGGGACUCAAAAUAUUGCAUUUAAUUAUUCUGGAAUUUUAAUUUUAUUUUAUCAAAAAAAAUAUGCCGUUAAAUAAGAUAGUCAAGUUAAAUUUUUUGAAAACUCUAAAGUGCAUGAUGUUCUAUUUAACAAUUAAGUCAUUGCAGUAAAUUUAAAAUAAAAUUAUAGAAUACUUAAGUAUAACAUUUUAAAUCACGAGGACGAAAUACCUUGUGCGAUGAACUUGAACACUCUCGUGAUAAUCUGAUAGAUAAUCUGGCUGGAAAGAAAUAAUAUAAUUUUCAAAAAACAUAGCUCAGAACCUGUGGCAGUCAUCACGAAUAUCAAAUACCUUGUGUGAAACUAGAAAAUGUUUUGCGAUCACUGGACUUAACUUUUUCUUUCAUAUAAUUCCUUCCUUCUUUCUUUCUUUCUUUUUUUUUUUUGGCUCUUUUGGAGGCCUAGCUGUCUCACAUAUGUAGCUAAAUUCAUUUUUAUCAUAAAAUGAAGUGAGUAGUGUGCUACAUUAUUCUAAAAAGAAAAAAAUUAAAUCACAUAAUGGUAAAAUAAAAAUACACUAAAUUAUCUACUUAAUUAGGGUGGCAAAGUAAAAUUACCUAAACCCUACAGUGGCAUAAAUUAAAAUUUACUUUUUUAAAAAUUAAUGAAAAGGAGAACUCUCCACACAUUUUUACUUUGGUUGCGAUUCUAAGUAAUUGAAUCCGGCCAAAAAGAAAAUAACAAAAUAACAAGUUAUUUUCUAAAUAAUUUAUUUUAAUCGUACAUCUCACUUUAAAUUAAAUAUCUAACUAACGGGAUUGAAAUUAUAGAUCAGUUAAUUUGUUAUAUGGGUAAUGAUUAAAUGAAAAUGUGAAAUGUACGAUCAAAGUUAAUUUUAAAAAAAAAAACGAAAAAACUAUACUAAAGUUUGUAGUAAGUGGGUCCAUAAUCAACAUUGACUUUGUGGUCCAAAUCUUUAUGCUCUUCAAAUCAUAAACGGCCUAAAAAGCCCAACUAGCCCGUUAUGAUUAAUAUCAUGGGCCAAAUAUGGCCCAAGUUGGCCAACAUAUUCAAAUUUAAAUUGAAUUAAUUAAUGGUUUUAAAAUUUCUAAUCAAAAGUAAAUUGUAAUUAAUAGUUUUAAUGGAAAAAUUCAAAUAGCACCCCUGUGAUUUCACACUUUCUCACUUUAGUACUUUAUGAUUUAAAGUGUAUCAAUUUAGUAUUCUGUGGUUUCAUUUUUAUCUUUGUAUUAUCGAUCCCACAAAUUUUUUUCGUUAAAUCAGUGAUAAAGUUAAAAGUAAACGGUACUAAAAUAAAUAUUCGAUAAAUCUAGCUGGGUAUCUGAAGUUUUUGUAUAUAAUUUAACGAAAUAUUAACAAAAAAACAGAUGAAAAGAUAAAAAUAAAACUAUAAGACACUAACUUGAUACACUUUAAACCAUAUGAUACUAAAGUGAGAAAGUGUGAAAUUACGGGGAUGAUAUUUGAAAUUUACCCUUAUUUUAAUGAUGAGAAACAAAAAGUAAUUAUGCUUGUUCAAAUUGUAUUCCUCUAACUUGCCAUCCGAACCUCUCCUGCCCUAUUAAUAAAAUUGCAGUGGUUUAAUAUCAUAAUUUUACACUUUUUUAUUUCCCAAAAUUUUAAAACAAUAGAAUUUUGUAGCAAGAAUAGCGAAGUUUUUAAUUUUAUAAGUUCUAAUACCAAAAGCUAAAAUUGCAUUAAGAAAUUUUUCAGAGAUAAAAACUUACAAAACUUACGUGAACUAUGAAAUAUUUUGAAUCUGCUAUCCAAUUAUUUAAAAUUUUGAACAUUUCUGCUCGAAUAUUUCAAUUUGUUUGUUUUGAGUUAGUUAACGAUACUUUGGCUUUAAAAUUUAAACUAAUUACUUAUUUUAAUAAAUUAAUUAUUGCAAGAAUUGAAUGAAGUAUAUUAAUUAAAUCUGUAAUAAUAAACAAUGUAUUUAAAUUUUAAAAUUAAAAUAUUGUUUGCUUACUUUAAAUCAAAUAAAUUAAAAGUUUAUAUAGUAAAUUUAAAAAUUUGAAAGGUUGGAUAGUUAAGUCAAAAUGAUAUAGUAAAAUCUCAAUAUUUUUUUUUAAUAAAAUGCUUAUAAAUUUUAACCUUUGAAAAAACACAUUUAUUUAUUUAUUUAUUAUUUGUUUGUUACAUAAGAUUAGUGAUGCAUUUGUAUAAAUUAUAUUAUAUUACUAAGGAUUCCAUUAAUACUUUCCUUGGGGAAAAGUAACCCACAAAACAGGGUAAAAAAAAAAAAAACAAAGAACGAUGUGGCGGAGAUCCGCCUCUUUCGUCGUCGACAAAAGGUACUACCAACACGACGAGCUCCCCCUCGCCAUGGACCCCCAAAACCCUAACCCUAACCCUAACCCUAAUGCCAACCCCCUCUCCGCCUACUACCUGACCCGCGCCGAGCACCACGCCGUCGUCACCAGCGACUGGCUCGCGCAGGCCCAGGCGGCCGUCGGCCGCCACCCCUCGCCGCCGCCGCCGCCGGAGACGAUCGCCGGCGGAGGCGGCGGGAAGGAGAGGGGGUUCGGCGUGAUCGACGAGUUCAACUACUGGAGGAAGAAGCCCGACCUCGCCGAGGCCGUGGCCGCGAUCAUGGCCCUCGCCGCGGUGAUCCGCUCCAGCGAGGCCACCACCAUGAUGGAGCUCGAGAUCGAGCUCAAAACGGCCUCCGACACCCUAAAGGUAUCGCCUUUAAACCUUAUCUACUAUCUCGAGCUUAAUAAGUUCCUGCUGUGUUGUUAGUAAUGCCUCAAAAUUAGAUCUAAAUGAUGGUUUCCUUUUGAGUAUUACAAUUAGAAACCCUAGAGUAUCGCCGAAGUUGCUGAAUUGGCGCAUAUAGCGAAAAAUGUCGGUUUCACUGGAGAAGUCCUUAGCUUGGGAACAAAAAUUUGUGUUUUGAUCUCAAUUUUUCGGCAAUUAUUUUCCUCCUUAUUGUUUUUUCCUUCCAAUUUUUCUCCGCCAAUUUUUAAUACUUGGAGAUGCCUCUAUAUUCACAUUCUGUUAGUUGAUUUAUGCUUAAAAUAGAAAAUCUUCACAAACUGUUCUUCAUUCCAAAAAAACAGCUUUGAGUGAUAUAGUAUUAGUUGAUGAUUUCCAGUAUUAGAUUAAUGCAAGCUUUUCGAAAAUGUUUGGCAAGUCAAAAUGUUUUCUUUCUUAAAAUUUCGAUGGAAUUCACUUUAUUAGAGUCUAUUGUAACAUUAGGAGUUAUGCUACUUUGUCUUUUAUUUCUCAUGACCUUAUUUACUGUUUACAUAACGGACAUUUUACGUCCGCAUUGCAGUCGUGGGAUACGACCUCUAUAUCCUUGUCGGCCGGUUGCGAUCUUUUUAUGCGAUAUGUCACCAGAACGUCUGCUUUGGAAUAUGAGGACUUCGAUGCUGCGAAACGUCGUUUAAUUGAGCGAGGAGAAAAGUUUGGAGAGAUUUCUCUAAAGGUUUAAAAUAUUUCAUGGAUUACCUCUUCCUUUACCGAUUUGCACUCCGGAAACUAAAUACAUGUGAAUUCCGUUUCACCAGGCGCGGAGAACUAUUGCCAUGCUUUGCCAGGAUUUCAUAUUUGAUGGCUGUACGAUUCUAGUCCAUGGUUUUUCGAGAGUAGUCUUAGAAGUUCUGAAGCUUGCGGCAUCUAAUAGGAAACUCUUUCGAGUUCUCUGCACAGGUCAUUCCACACAAUAGUUUGCUUCUUUUAUUUUUUUUGUGGCUGUGAAAACGGAUAACACUACCUGAACCGUAGUCCAUUUUAAGAUGGGUACCUGGACUCUAAACAGUUUUGAUUUUAAUACCUAAACUUUCAUUCUUUCGAUUUCAGCACGUCACCGUCAGAUACUAUCGGUUUCCGUAAUAUGAGUUUUCGACUAUUACUUCCGGUGAAAAAUAUUUUGAAGACUACAUACAUAAUAUUCUGUAAAAAAAGGUCUAAAAAAUUGUUGAUUCCUGAUGGCGAGGUAGUGAAAUCUAAGGAGAUUAGUACUGAAAUUAUAGCUUGUGGAGUUCAGGUACUCAUUUAAAAAAUAUAUACACGAUACGUCAGGUAGUGCCAGUAUGUUCUAACCUUUUCUUCCUUAAGUUUUCUAAGCUUUGAUCUCUAUGUGAUAUUAAUACCUUAAUAUUCAAAAAUGCAGAGGGAAGGCCAGAUAGAACAGGGUUACGAUUCUCAAAUGAACUUUCGGCACUAGGAGUCCCUGUUAAGCUUCUGAUUGAUUCUGCUGUGGCUUAUGCUAUGGAUGAGGUUGACAUGGUCUUUGUUGGUGCCGAUGGGAUUGUUGAGAGCGGAGGCAUCAUAAAUAUGAUGGGGACAUAUCAGAUUGCUUUAGUGGCUCAUAGCAUGAAUAAGCCUGUCUAUGUAGCUGCCGAAAGUUAUAAGGUACUGCUUUCAGAUCAUAUCGACCUUUAUCAUUUUCUUCGGGGUAAAAUGAAUAGAAUGUCCCUGUGAUCUCCUGAUAUUGAACUUGGUUCUUGACUUCUAACUUAAACAUUCUCAUCCCUAAAAUAUCCUAUAUAUUGAGAUGCACCUGGUGCCCUUUUGCAUCCAAAAUACUUGAUAUUCAUCAAUUUUAGUGCUCAGCAAGCACAUAACACUUUUCCAUAAUGUGACCAUUUUAUAAACUAGGGAAGUCAUUACAGUAUAUAGGGUUAAGGGCCACUUUCAGAAAAAGAGUCACUUGCUGAGCACGUGACUCAUUGGACAUCGGGUGCUUCAGACGGUUAGGAAUUUAAUUGCAAUAUAUAAGAGUAAACUACAGGGUACUUCUGACAGCUAAGUCGCAAUAUUUUUUCAGGCUUUUCUUUGCAGAUCUGUAUAUAAACGUAUAGGUACUUGCAUUUGUUGCUCUAAGCUUUUCUUUUCUUUUGGCUAGUUUAUCUUCACCCUCGAGAACUCAAACAUAGUCCUUUAUGUCGUUACCAAUCUCUUCGAGAUGACUUUUUCAAAUGCCAUCUUAACCAUGUGUUCUUGUUCAAACAAAGUUGAAAACUUGAAAUACAAGAAACAGGUUUUACUAUUGUAUCAUUUAGAAAUGCAAGCCAUUUUUUUUUUUCUACAUUGGUAUUCAAACUAAUUGAAUUAUUUCUAUAGGAAUAUCGAAUAGAUAAGAUGUAUUCUCGCUAAAUUUUAUCAUUUAGAUUUACGCUUUUGAAGGAUCGUCAGCUUGGAUUUAAUUGUGUCGACUUUUUUUGAUCAAUGUCUGAUAUCUUGCUGCUUAUAUGUAUAAAAAAAAAAUCCCAAAUUUUAUUCCUAAUCGAGUUCUUCGAUUUUCCUGCUUCCUUCAUUCCUGCGCGCCAUAGUUUGGCGGCUUUUGCACUUUUACCUGAAUAUCAGCUAUUACUACAUGAAAAGCAUGUUCUUAUUAUAGUGAUCAUUCUUGCAGUUUGCACGCAUGUAUCCGUUGGACCAAAAAGACCUAGCACCGGCCCUUCGCCCAAUAGAAUUUGGUGUUCCUAUACCACCCGGUGUCGAGGUCGAGAAAUCUGCGAGGGACUAUACUCCACCUCAAUAUCUUACGCUCCUUUUCACCGAUCUCGGCGCCCUAACUCCAUCUGUCGUAAGUGAUGAACUUAUUCAACUGUACCUAUGAAUCGUGUCUUCGGAAUCCGACUGCUAUGUUAUGCUUUGUAUUGUAAAAACUGGGUUUCGAAACUAUAUUCAUUUCAAAGAAAGGGAGUGAAAUGAAUGGAGAGAGUAUAUUUUGUAUUAGAAAACCAACAAAAUAGGGAUGAAGCCAUGUAUUUUAUUUAAUUUUUGUUCUGAUAUCAUAUGGCUCUGCAUGUAAAACAUUUUGCAGUGUUUUGGUCCGCACCUUGGCAAUGUAAAAUUGAUUUGAAAACAUUUCGGGAUUUGUCGCGCUCUUUUUCGGUUGGUUAUUAUGACUUUUCUGAUGUUUUUAUCAUUCUUUCUGAGUCCAAAUGCCAGAUAUUUGUUCAGGUUAUGUGUUGAGCAUUAGCAGGUUUUCAAUUACCAUUUCUAUAUUGGUGGUGGGAUGAGUUAUUCAGGAUGCUUUUUAAGAAUCCUAAGAAUAUCCUCGACAUACAUACAUACAUACAUACAUACAUAUGUAUCCGGCUACUAUACUAUUAUGAGUACGAUCGCCCUCGUACUCAUAAGUUGUUUUCGAUGAUAGAGCUUCUGAAUCUACGAUCCACACCGUUAAACGUUAUCUAGAGCAUUUGAAACAUCUAUAAAUUAAAUUUUAUAAUUUUUCGACAUCAUUUAUCUUACGAUCAAAAGCUCACAAAAUUGACAAUUUUUAACGGCUGGUAUGGAAUAUUUGCUAGUUUAACGGUGCAAAAGAAUCGGAAUAAGUUGAAUUUUUGAUAGAAAAUUCUAUUCACUAUCUAGAUAAAGAUCAAUAACUCUGAUCUUAAAUUGAAGAAGGAUCCGAUCAUCUAUUUUUAAAACAUCGUUCGAUUUUGACCGUUCAUUUUAUGCCCGCUUGAUGGAUUUUAUUAUGAUUUCGAAAAAUUACGAAAUUUAUUUUCUAGAAGUUUCAAAUACUUUAGAUCAUAUUUAACGGAGUGGAUCGUCGAUUCGAAAGCUCUAUUAUCGAAAACAACUUAUGAGUACCGAAGGGUCCAAUACUCAUAAUAGUAUAGUAGCCCCACUCUCUCUCUUUCUCUCUCUCUCUCUCUCUCUCUCUCUCUAUAUAUAUAUAUAUUGUAAAUAUAGAUCUAAAUCUUAUACCCGUUGCAUCAUAGGAUUUUCGAAAACUCAUUUGGAUUGCUCUUUUUAUAAAAUAUAUAUGUUGUUUAGAUUGCAAACCAUGAGUAACAGAGAAGGUUAAGUUAAAGAGAUAUGAGUUUGUUGUUAUAUAUACAAACUUUUUAGAAUACUAGUUGAAUGUACGUGCAAAUGCACGUAACAAUUAUUAUAAUUUAUUUUAAAUCAGUAUACAUUUGCAUAUUAUAUAUAUUCAAAAUUUUACAAUAAAAACUAUAUUUAUAAAUUAAUUUGUUAUAUUUUAUUAGAAAAUAUUUACAAUAUCUUACCGUGUUCUUUUAUUUAUAUAUAUAUACAUCAAACAUUUUUAUAUACUUUUUGAUUUUUGAUAAAUCAAAUUUAAGUAUGUGUUUUAAAUUAAAGCAUAGAAAUUUAUUUACUUUAAAAUUUAAAUUUUAAUUUUGAUCCACUGUAACAAAAAAAUUAAUUGUUGAUUCAAAUUUGAUAUAAAAAAUUAAUUAAAUUUAAUUUAUAAUUUAAACUCAAAUUUUAAUUUUAAUGUAAAAUAGAUUAAUAGAAAUGCUAUUUUUUUAACAAAUUGAUCAUAGCCAUUUAUUUUUGUUUGAGAUAUUUUUUAACAAAUUGAUUAUAAACGUAGGAUUGAAUUUAUAAAUGGAUAGGAAUGCUAUUUUUAUAUAAAUUGAUCAUAGCUGUUCUUUUUUGAAAUAUUUUUUUAACAAAUUAAUCAUAACCAUUUAUAGGGAAUAGAUUUCAAUAUUUAGUAGAGAUUUUAUAGAUUGAUCAUAACCGUUCGUUCUUAUUUGAGAUAUUUUUAACAAAAAAAAUCAUAAUCAUUGAUAGGGAAUAUUUUUUUAUUCUUUUUUGGAUUCUGUCUGUCAUUGUCGGAAUUCCUAUACCCUUUUAUAUAUAGUAUAGAUAUAGAUAUAGAUUAAUAGGAUAGCUUUCCCAAAGGAGGAUUAAAACUAUCCUAAACUAUUAUAAUAUAUAAAUAUCGGAUUAUUCUCAACUAACAUUAUCCCAAAUUAUAUCAUUAGCUCAAAAGUUUUGACAAUAUAAACACAUAUAUGUUUCUAUGAUCUCUUUAUUUUAUUUUUUUUUUUUACCAAUGAUUAAUCAAGAAUUAAUCUACCUCUAAUUAACAUCUUAUUCGAUCCACUCGCGAAAAAACACAAUAAACUUAGACUUCAUUAAUCAAACAAGACGAGAAUUACACCCUUAGCCUGGUAAUUGUGAUGCAACUCCUUAAAAACACUAAACACAAAUUAAACACAAAACGCACGUAAAAGAGUGGGGACAAAAAAAAAAAGAAAAAAGUAGAGCUAGUGCAUGAAUGCUCGCGUUUCUCAUUCAUGGUUUGAUCUCUUGGGAAGCAACCGAGCUCGGAGCUCCGCGGCGUCGACCUGGUCGAACCGGUUCUCCGGUACCCAGUAUCCCGUUUUCGGGUCCCUCAUCCAGAACACCUCCUUUCCCUCCGCUGCCGCCUGCUUCGCGGUCGUCGCACCCUCCGUCCUCACCACCGUCGAUGUCGCUGCAUGCGCAGCAUGCGAACUCUCCGUCGCGAUGCUGUAGCAACGUCGACAACUGCGACAAAGAAACAAAACAAAAUUAAAAAACAGCUUUAUGAUCAUGAUAACAACAAUUGCAAUAACACAGCAAGAACAAGAAGAUCGGAAGAAGAAGAACAAGGAGAAUAAAAGGAAGGUGCGUGUGUGUAAGUGCAACGUGUAAACUUACGUGAGAGAGAGCAUCUUAGAGAUGAAAACCCUAGACAUUGUUACAGAGAGAGAGAGGGCUAGAGAGAGAAGAGAGUGUGUUAAUUGUAAAGUGAUUGGUACGUAAUGAGUGUAGGGUUUAAGGGGUUUAUAUAGAGAGAGAUAGGAGAAUAUAUUCUAGCAAAGUAAUUUAAAGUAGCGCGGCGCGUCUUAAAAUAUAACGAAUUAGGAUUCGCUGCACGUCUCCUAUCAAAGUUGUUGCAAGGUCUUCUAAUCUUAUUCCUUAUGGCAAAGUCGUUGCAAGGUCUUCUAAUCUUAUUCCUUAUGGCAGCGUUUGGUUAGGGAAUAGGAAUAGGAAUAGGAAUAGGAAUAGGAAUAGACUCUUAUCCCCCUUUAUACCUACUAAUUUUUUAUUCGAAAAUAGUAGUUCUCGGUUAUCCCCACCAACACCUUCAUUUUCUAUAUAAAACUACCUAAAAUUAUUUUUAUAUCCGGAAACAACCCAAUUUUCAUCAAAAUACUAUUUUUCUUAUCUCCAUACUUGUACCUAUUCCUAUAAUAACUAGCUCUUACUUAUACCCGAACCAAACGGUAUAAUAAAAUUUAUAUUGGUAUUUAUUUUGAAUGGAAUAUGAGACGGACGGCUUCGAUGUUUUUUGGUGUUGAUGAAUGGUCGGAAAAUUUAUG